UUGAAACACACUAAAAUUUUAAUCAAUACAAAAAAGGAAUAGCGCAGAUAAGGUGACGAUCUCUAAUAUGUUGCUCCUAUCAUUUCCCUACAUACUUGAUCUGUUGAAGUCCACUUUAAAUUCUUUUGGAUUCCUACAUUUAAAAAAAAAGUAAAACUAAUGAAAAGAGCUUGAAAACUUUGAGUUUUAAUGAUAAAGACAAAAUAAAGGGUAAAGUGAAUAGUACCAGGAUUGACUUUUUAGUGUAAAAAUGUGGUUUUUCGUUAAAGUGAACAGUACCGGGAGCUUUUCGUUAAAGUUCCCUUAAAAAAAUGGACACAAUAUAAUUUAUUUGACAAAAGAAAAGACAACAAGAGAGGAAAAUUACUAUAAUAGUUAAGUAACAUAUGAAAGUGAUCAAUAAUAAAAAUUCACGUCACAUAUUUCCUACAUUACCAUUUAUGUUAAUGUUGUGAGGUUAGAGGAUGAAGUGGAUGUGUGACCGCCGUAGAAUGCAAGCUGGAUGGAUGAAGUGGAAGAGUGCAUCCGGCGUGUUGUGUGACCGCCGUAUGCCACUGAAGCUCAAGGGAAAAUUUUAUAGGACGGCAAUAAGGCCGGCGAUGCUGUAUGGCACAGAAUGUUGGGCGGUGAAGCAUCAACACGUACACAAAAUGGGUGUAGCGGAGAUGAGGAUGCUUCGUUGGAUGUGUGGGCACACGAGAAAGGAUAAGAUUAGGAAUGAGGAUAUCCGGGGUAAAGUAGGAGUAGCCGAAAUUGAAGGAAAGAUGAGAGAAAAUCGGUUACGGUGGUUUGGACAUGUGCAAAGAAGGCCUACUGACGCUCCGAUUAGAAGAUGCGACCAUGGGACAGAGGUUCAGGGCCGAAGGGGUAGAGGAAGACCUAGGAAAACUUUGGAAGAGACCUUAAGAAAAGACUUAGAGUACUUGGAUCUAACGGAGGACAUGACACAGGACAGAACACAAUGGCGUUCUAAGAUUCAUAUAGCCGAUCCCACUCAGUGACUUGGAUUUUCCAAGUCUCAAACCGAGAAGUUUUCCUCACUCGAGAAAUUAAGGGAACACUACCUCAACCUACAUGCUCCACUCACAAAGCUUCAACAUACAAGCUUCAACAAAAGAAAAUUCAAAGAACUUAGCGAAGAAGGCUUUGGUGUAUUUAACACAAUACGUUGAAAUGAAGGAAAGCUGAUUUAUUGAUAUCCCCGAUCAGUUACAAAUAUGUACAUAUACUUGAGUCAAAAUAAACAAACAAGAGGGAGCCUUCACAAAGGUUGCUUAGAAGAAGUCUCAGCAGUCGGUAGAGCCCCAGCAAGAGAAGGCACCGGAGGGGGAUCAUUCGGAGCCUCAGUACUGGACAGAACCCUAGAAGGAGGAGGCAUCAGAGGUUGAUCAUUUGGAGCUUCAUUACGCGGUUCAGCCCCAGAAGACGAAGGCAAUAAAUGCCUUUGGAACAAACCCACAAAUCUCUGAUGAUCAAGUAAAACCUGACCAUCAGAUUCCUUCAUCUGCUCAAGCUUCCUCUUCAUGUUUGUAGCAUAGUCAUGUGCGAGCCGGUGCAACUGUUUAUUCUCAUGCUUGAGCCCUCUAAUCUCCUGUUUGAGACUCAUCACUUCAGUCGCCAAUGAUUCAACUUGGCGGGUUCGAGCAAAUAGGCGUUGGGCCAUAUUAGACACAUAACCUGCACACUGAACACUCAGAGCCAGAGAAUCCUUAACAGCCAACUCAUCAGACCGUUUGGAAAGUAGUCUGUUAUCUUUGGGAGUGAGAAGGUUCCUGGCCACUACCGCAGCGGUCAUAUCAUUCUUCAUCACGAAAUCCCCAACUGUAAGAGGACCAGUAGGGGAGACGAAGGAUGGGCGCCAUAUGUUGUCUGGAGAAGGCGGGGCUACCUCUUCAACAAGGUUCAAGUCAAAACGACGGUCAGAGGGGCCAGACGUUUUCAAAGGUGUUGAAGAGAGAAGAGGUCGGACAAAUCAAGAUCUUAGAAGUGCAAGAAUGAAGCUUCUACUGGUGGAUAUUCAAGUGUGCUUUGGAACUUAAUGUCAGCCCCUAUAAAAAUCUGCACUCGACGAAGCUUCAGAAAUCGAAGAGGCGCCUGCUCAGAAAUCGAAGAGGCGUUUGCUUUCUCAAAAGCUGGGCUGCUUAGAGACCACGAGGGUCGAUCUCAGAAAUCGAAGAGGCGUUGGCUUUCUCAAAAGCUGGGCUGCUCAAAGACCACGAAUGCCGAUCUCAGAAAUCGAAGAGGCUUGCUUUCUCAAAAGCUGGGCUGCUCAGAGACCACGAGGGCCGAUCUCAGAAAUCGAAGAAGCACCUACUUUUCCAGCCUCGUCAGCACCUGUCACACGCACACUCAGCUUUGCGGAAAUUAUGGGCAUUCUGUCGAAGAUUUCUGGCGAAGUAGAAAGCACAUGAAUCGUACUGUUCAAUCAUCCACUUCCCACACGCAACAGUAGAUCAUGGGUACCACAGAUAACUUUGCCAAAGUUCUCUGACAAAGUUGAGACACGUGAAGCUUGCAGCUCCCACUACAUCGCUCUGACCAAGAAGGGUAAAAGAAUAGCAAAGAAACAACACUACCAAAGUUUAGACACAUAAAUUUUGAAGGUCUAGCUACCAUAUUAUUACCCACAAGGGUAAAGGAACAGUACCACUGCUGGAUAAUUGGAAAGUCCCGGUGUGUCAACCUCUGUGCUUCGUGGCAAGGUAGACUAGCAAACAUGCCCAACCUUUACUCACAUUCGAGAAAACACUCCCAACAAGAUUGCUUGCUCCAAAAUCGAAGAGGCACCGCCCUCCGAAUCUCGAGAGCCAGACUCUCAACAUGAUUACUUUCUCAAAAAUCGAAGAGAGGGUAAAGGAACAGUACCACUACUGGAUAAUUGGAAAGUCCCUGUGUGUCAACCUCUGUGCUUCGUGGCAAGGUAGACUAGCAAACAUGCCCAACCUUUACUCACAUUCGAGAAAACACUCCCAACAAGAUUGCUUGCCCCAAAAUCGAAGAGGCACCACCCUCCGAAUCUCGAGAGCCAGACUCCCAACAUGAUUACUUUCUCAAAAAUCGAAGAGAGGGUAAAGGAACAGUACCACUGCUGGAUAGUUGGAAAGUCCCUGUGUGUCAACCUCUGUGCUUCGUGGCAAGGUAGACUAUCAAACAUGCCCAACCUUUACUCACAUUCGAGAAAACACUCCCAACAAGAUUGCUUGCUCCAAAAUCGAAGAGGCACCGCCCUCCGAAUCUCGAGAGCCAGACUCCCAACAUGAUUACUUUCUCAAAAAUCGAAGAGACACCGCUCUCCGAAUCUCGAGAGCCAGACCCCCAGCAUGAUUGCUUUCUCAAAAAUCGAAGAGGCAUCGUUCUCCGAAUCUCGAGAGCCAGAUCCCCGACAGGAUUGCUUGUUCAAAAACCGAAGAGGCACCACUUUCCCAACUUCAAGAGCUGGAUCUCCUUGGAUAAAGCUUGUCUGUAAUCUUCACACGCAACAUCAGCUUUCCAGAUACCACAGACCACUUUUUCAAAGUGCUCUGACAGAGUUAAAACAUGUGAAGCUGAUAGCUCCCACUACCGUGCUAUGACCAAGCAGGGUAAAGGAAUAGCAUUAUUACUUGAUGUUAGGGAGACUCCUAUAUAUGUCGACCUCCAUCCCCAACGGACAGGCAGACCUGCAAAAAUGCUCAACCCUUCCUCUUAUCUGAGAGGGCACUCCCAACGAAGCCUUUCGAAAAUUUCAGCUUUCUUUCCCCCCGAUAAUACCUUUGUAAACAAGCUAUACUAGAGCAAGAAUAUCUCAUAUCAUCAGGGUUAAAAGCAAGAGUAUCCCAUAUCAUGCUUUUUCCCUGUCUUUUCCUUUGGCCUUGUUCUUACCUGCAAGACAAGGAGAAAGAGAGCAAUCAGUCAGCACUUGGAAUCAAGCUUCCAGCCAGGAACUGACUGCCUGGAAUUACUUACCUGGCAUUGCUCUCGAGUACUCAUCUUCAACAUCUUAGGCUUCCAGGGAAGAUACUACAUCUGCCUGAGGAACAGCUAGGGCAAGUGAGAAGGAUACAAGGAAGCAUGUGGAGACAAGCGUAACAGCACACGUGCCGAUACAUCCACUACUCUGUCAAAAGCAAAAGUAUCCCAUAUCAGCAGGGUCGAACGUACUCUAGAUUUGAUGGACUUGUUUUGACCCUCAAAUUCUUCAGUCGGCCUUAUACUCUGGAGGAAACCAGAAAACCCUCCAGCCCAGUUCAAGAAUAAGCCUGUGGAAAGUUACUUCUUCAAAAGCAAAAGUAUCCCAUAUCAUCUCUUCUCAUUUUUCUUCUCUUUAUCCUUCAUGCUGCCUGCAAGAUAGGGAGAAUGUGAACAAUCAGCCGGAGCUCUGAUUGCUUACCUUGUCUGUCACCUCUUUCAGCAGAUACCUAGCUCGGCGACUUGGAAGACUCCUACUACAUGGUUUGUAUCGCGCUUGACCAAGCCUGAAACUACAAGUAAGCUUCAAGUGAAAUUGAUACAUUACCUUGUGCAUCUCCACCAGUUACAGAUACCACCCUUGGAUGGAGGAAGAGUACUUCCAGAGAAGAUGCCACAUCUACCUAUGAGAUAGAUAAGGCAAGUCAAGACGAUACCACACUCCGGUACUUAAGUUUCGUGGUUACGAGAUCAUUCUCCCACAAUAUUUCCUAAUGUCAUUUGUACUAAAUCAUUCACUUGUACUCACUAAAGGAGAGCUUGAACCUAUGUAUUUGUGUAAACCCUUCACAAUUAAUGAGAACUCCUCUAUUCCGUGGACGUAGCCAAUCUGGGUGAACCACGUACAUCUUGUGUUUGCUUUCCUAUCUCUAUCCAUUUAUAUACUUAUCCACACUAAUGACCGGAGCAAUCUAGCGAAGAUCACAAAAAGUGACCGUUUUCGCUACCUAGGAUCUAUCUUGCAAGAGAACGAAGAAUUAGAUGGAGAUCUCAACAGAAGAAUAAAAACUUGGAUCUAACGGAGGACAUGACACAAAACCGAGUGCAAUGGCGUUCUAGGAUUCAUAUAGCCGACCCCACUUAGUGGGAAAAGGCUUUGUUGUUGUUGUUGUUGUUGUUGUUGUGAGGUUAGAGGAUAAGGAUACAUUUAAUAGCCGCUACUUUUCACUCUAAUAUUCAUGUAGUGUGAGGACACUUGUCCAUAAUAUAACAUCAAUUCAUAAUUCAACCAGUAAAUCAAAGUCUAUAUUGGUUUUGAAUUUGUGUAGCAUGUGGAUCAACAGAGCAAGUUGUUGGUGUGCAAAAUGAGAUUGUCUAAUUUAUUGUAAUUGCUCCUUUUUUUCAUCAAAAGGUUUUUUGAUGCAAUUGUUGUUGCUAAAAUUUUGAAUGCCCCUUCGGUUAUUCCACACAUUGAAGUUAAUCCCGCGUGGCAAGUGGCAAGAUUCGAGGUAUAAAGUGAGUAUGUUAACCUGGAAUUGUUCCUAGAUGUUAUUAUUUCUGUCCAAGGGGAGCCAUUGAUGGGAAACUUCUUUUGCAACCCGUUUGAUCUUUCAACUAUUCCACAUAGGGCUAUCUGCA
rnacentral:lncRNA from 1 species